UGAUGUGGUGAGGCAGGGCAGGGCAACUGAGCUGUUCAGCAUAGGUCGUCUAAAAUUGUGCCUACAGUGGAAACCAGACUCUGGAGCUGAAUAGGAUGAGAAAGGGGUGUGGAGUUUGGAAGCUCUUCCAUGGCCAGACUUCCUCAGGAAGGUGGUGGAUCCUAGCUCUGCCCACCUGUUCAAUCCAUGCAGAAGACAAGGAGGACCCCAGCAGGGAGCCCAGACUUCCUGAGCUAUUAUUAAUCAUUCUAUGAUUAACAACAACGUGGCUACUUCACACACCUCUCUUAAAGAUCCACCUGAUUAUAGAAGUCCUUUGGCUGGGAAGAUUUUAACCAUGAGGGCAAUGAAACACUGGCCUGGGUUGCCCAGAGAGCUGAUAGAAUCUUCAUCCUUGGAGCCACUCCAGAUGAAGUUGGAUGGGACUCUGAGCAACCUGGUCUAGUUGAAGAUGCCCCUGCUGCCUGCAGGGGGACUGGGCUAGAUGCCCUGUGAAUGUCCUUUCCAGCCCAGCCUGUGGUUCUAUGGUUGUCACAAGUCUUAGCUAAGGCAGAGUUGGUCCACAUGGCUUGGUUUGAGUGAUGCUUCGAUUCUGACCAGCUCUUGACUCUACAGUGAGCUUCUCAUUUUGCAAAGCACUAAACCCCUGCUGGUUGGUAGGAAGCUUCUGCAGGAUCUCUCUCACUGAAGGUCAGGUUUCAUGUGAGAUCCUAGAACCAGGCUUCUGCUGUGCUAGAAAAGCAGAAAGGAGAAAUCUGUAUAAGGUUAGCAACAUCUGAGCAAAACAGUGUUCUUGGCUCAGACAGCAGUUCUAAUUAUCCAGCACUUAGGCACCGAGAAGAUUCGGAUAAGAGGUCUCAGAUUUAGCUCCUCUCUGCAAGUUAAUGUGCCACUUUUCAUCUUCUUUUUAAAGCAGACAAUCAAAUCUGUGAUAGCAAAUUUCAAGUUAAAAGGAAAUGAUUGUCCCUGCAGAGAAUGGAAAGAACCAUUUUUGGCACUAGAGUGAGGUUUUGUGAUCCACCUGAGGCAUGGGUAGCUGGCAUUCCACACAUGAAAUAGAAGCUGGUGAGCCUGUUGCAAGAGUAGCUGGAUAAAAUCCUAUGGCUUCUUAUAUACAUGGGUGGUCUGAUAGGAUUUCUUGGUAUCAGGUAUCAUAGAGUGGCUGAAGUUGGAAAGGACCUUAAAAAUCAUUUUAAUUCCAGCCCCCAUGCCAUGGGCUCCCACUUC